ACGGCUACCACAUCCAAGGAAUGCUCAGGUGCGCGGAAUUACCCAAUCCCGACUCGGGGAGGUAGUGACAAUAAAUAACAAUGCCGGGCUAUCUUAGUCUGGCAAUUGGAAUGAGUACAAUCUAAAUCCCUUAACGAGGAACAAUUGGAGGGCAAGUCUGGUGCCAGCAGCCGCGGUAAUUCCAGCUCCAAUAGCAGGCUCCCUCUCCGGAAUCA
rnacentral:rRNA from 1 species